UACCAAAAAGUCAUACUUUCAUGCACUUUACAAGAAAAGUAAACAUCCAAUAUGUUUUUCUACAAAAGUAAAAAUGUAAAUAUCAUAGAAAUGAAAUAUCAUGGAUGUAUACCAAGCCGGAAUCAAAUCCGAGUACAAAAAGUGAGGUUAAGUAAGGAAAAAUGAAAAAUGAAAAAUGACUAAAGGACGAAAAAGGGAAAAAACCAAAAAAUAAAUAGUGUCGAAACACAAAAAAUGUGGAAAUGACUCGAUUCUCAAACGAAGUUGUCAAUCCAAAGGAAAGAGUCUCAGAAACUAUUUUCGAGCACUCAAAACGACAUUAAAAGGCGAAAAAUCGAACCCGAAAAGAAAAAGAGAAUGAAAAAAAUUUAUUCUCAAAAUUUGAAGAAAAGGAAAGUAAUGAAAAUGACCGAACCAUUAUAACAUAAAUUCCAUUCUAAAAUCAAAUCUUCCGGAAUCCUAUCGUUCCAAACAAAGAGUUCUCUCUCUUCAAGGUUUGAAGCUCUCUCACUCUGACAGAUUUCUUUGCAAAGUCUCUCUUCAAGCUAUCUCUCUCUCAGUUUCUUACGCUUCUCUUAGGCAGAAAAGGUCGAACUGCGUUUCUCUUCCUACAAUCAUCUCUGUGUGCGGGAGCAUGGAGCAAAGCAGCAGACCUUCCCUAGAGGAUUACUUGAAAGGAAGGAGUAAUUCAUAAAGUUUACAUUAGCUUCUCUUGUAUUCUAUUUAAACACCUUUUAUUUGUUUACAAGUAAUUUCUGCUACAAGCCAAGGCUAACAGAGUGUGUAGUUCGUCCUUGCACAGUCAGGGAAAGGAAAAAAAAAAUUUGCACCCAAUGAUGAGGUAGUUUAUGUUUGUAGGCACUGAAUUCAUGUAGAGUUAUUAAUGGAAGAAGCCCAAGAUAGAAAGGGUUCAAAGUUUGCAACACAAAAUAUGUGUCCUGAUUGAAGCCUAUUUUUUUUUUUUUUUUUAUGUAAUGAAAUAGUCACAUAAGAUUUAAAUAUAUAAGCAUACAAACCAGUGCAGGAUUCAAUGGUAUGAAAUGUACUAAAGGCUCGUUUUCCCAUUUUAAAGCUUGUGCCUUGUUAUAA